GGGACAAUAGGCAGAACUCAUAUAUCUAUAAUAUUUUCAAUUAGACUGAUGGAUCUAUAAAUUUUCUUGUUUGAGCCAUUAGUAUUGCACCUGCUACUACUUUUCAACAAAGUUCUGAUGCCGCGUAAGCCAGCACAAUACUAUGAGAGAACUGAGCUUCAAUAACUGGGUUGAGGGCAGGAAUUCUUCCGGUUCAAGUGAACGUACUAGGAAGAGUAUAAAUUCUUGCAUAGGUGAUUGCUUGCUCUACAAUCUACAUGUUGUAAUGGAAGUAAAGAUCCAAGGAUAUGCUCCAAAUUGCCAUGGGAAAUCUUCUUCUGUUAUCUGAAAACUAGUGUCCUAAACGACUUAACGGGAUAAAUUUUCGAAGCAGAAUGUUUUGUCGCAACUCUCGCUCCUCCAUUCUCCAUGUUGAGUAAAAUGGAAAAAUCAAUAUUGGUUGUGAACUUGUGGCCUUUUGACAAUUGUUUUUCUAGUGUUAGACAUGCUGCAAAAGUCAUUAUAUUCAAUAUUGAGGGCAACAAUAA